rnacentral:rRNA from 1 species
AACGAACGCUGGCGGCAGGCUUAACACAUGCAAGUCGAACGCGUGUAGCAAUACACGAGUGGCGCACGGGUGAGUAACGCGUGGAUAUCUGCCUUUUGGUUCGGAAUAACCCCGGGAAACUGGGGCUAAUACCGGAUGGUUCCUUCGGGAUAAAGAUUUAUCGCCAAAAGAUGAGUCCGCGUCCGAUUAGCUAGUUGGUGAGGUAAUGGCUCACCAAGGCGACGAUCGGUAGCUGGCUGAGAGGACGAUCAGCCACACUGGGACUGAGACACGGCCCAGACUCCUACGGGAGGCAGCAGUGGGGAAUAUUGGACAAUGGGGGCAACCCUGAUCCAGCCAUGCCGCGUGAGUGAUGAAGGCCUUC